rnacentral:lncRNA from 1 species
ACAUUUAAACAGUGUAUCAUUUUAUUGAUCAUAAACAGAAUAUAAACAACUCAAAUCUAAUUACAAUUUACUAGAAUACAAGUAUACAACAUAUAUCAUCAAAUCCAAAUACAAUUUAUAUGCAUUUAAACUAAUCAAUAUAAGAAUUACAAAGCAUAUAAGUGCAUUCCUUAGCAUUGAUAAGCAAUGAGAUGGAAAAGUCACAAAACUAACUAAAGAUAAAAAAGACACCAUUGAUAAGCCAAAAUCACAUCCUUGAUUUUUCAAUUGAAGAGUAGAAGCACCAAUGAAAGACACCAUUGAUAACCUUGCAUGCAUAAUGUUGGCAGUUUUUGUCUUGCCAACAACCACCAUUGUUGGCAUAUACUCAUUUGUUUUCAUAUGUCUGCAUAUAUAAUCAAAUAUUAAGAGAAUGAAAUAAUCACCGGCGCCUACAACUUCUUAAGAAUAUUAAGAGAAUGAAAUAAAUAACCCACAUGCCUAUACCUAUUAGACUAAGAGCUAUUUUUGAAUGACAAAAUACCUCUCAUUGACAACAAACUUUUUCCAAUUAGUUAUUCGACAUGCCUUUGAGACUUUUGAUCAUAUACCUGAAACCAAAAGUAAGAUGAAGUAAAUAAAUAAAAAUUUGAAAGGGUGCAGAAGUACAAACAUUGAUAUUUCUAUUUCAUAAAUGCAUUAAAACAUAGAAAUGAUCAUUAAAACUAUGGUUCAUCAAGCAAUGUGUAAGAAAUAAGACAAAAAAAUUCUGAAGCUAGAGCUUAGUGAUUGUGAACUUCAAAUAUUUAGUGUAAACCAGUAAAACAAAUGACAAUUGUUACAACCCUUGAGUAUGCUCAAUGUAUAAUAUUCAGUGUUUAGUUGUUCCAAAUGUUGUUUCUUUAACGAUACCAGCCUUGAAUAGAUCAUAAACUAAUGCUACUUAUAAGUUAUAGUCAAAUUGUAAAAACAAACAGCAUAAGAACCAUUGCAUAAAGCAGACAAC